CGGGGCGUGGCCUAGUGGCUAGGGCACUCGCUUGGGGUGCGAGCGGUCGUGGGUUCGAUUCCCACCGCCCCGA
rnacentral:tRNA from 3 species